rnacentral:lncRNA from 1 species
UUAGAAAAAAGCAGAAAGGGGGAAAGCCGCAAGCUGCGAAAAGGAGAACAGGAGCAGCGGGUUUCAGAAAAAAAAAAUAAAGGGGAAAUGAAAAGAAGAAGAAGAAAGCUUUGGGCAAAGGCUUUACGAAAAACCGGGAGUUGAAAUUAAAAGUAUUCGACUCAAGAGGUUAACUUCUUCUUUUCAUCUAUUGAAUUAUUUCACUAUAUUUAUGCAAUUUCAUGUGGUACAAAGGAAUUCAAUAUCAAUUUUCUUUUAUAUAAAAAGAAAUGUACAAUUACUAUGAAGAUAACAAGGUUUUAAGGGUUUGAUUUAAGCAAUGAUAGGUCUACUUCUAGAGGAAUAAAUUAUAUUAAAUAGUUUGAAAUUGAUAGAAUUAUGGACUAGUUCUAUAAUUAAAUAUAAAUCGACAAACUAAGAGUCAAACAUGAACCCCGAUAAUUGGGUAUCCUAAAUUAGUGAUAUUAAAUAUAAAUCGACAAACUAAAACUCAAACAUGAACCCCGAUGAUUGGGUAUUCUAAAUUAUUGAUGGAUUUGGCCUAAAAUGAGGCAAUUAACAUGAGAUCGAUAUUAUGUAAUUAUAGAUUGAUUGGAGGAAUUUGUACGAGUUGCUUGAGGUGAAGCAGUUGGUAUUUCGGCAUGAAUAUUGUGAGUAGUAAUCUUACCACAAUUUGUGUUUUCAUAACCUGCAUGGUUCAUAUAUGAUUUUGAAAAUAAACGUAUUACUGAUGCUUUAAAAUUUGCAUGUGGGAAACAUCCUUUACUUGACAUGGUACUGAACAGUUUACUUGAGAUGUUUACCAGUUAAUCUAAACGUUUUUACCAUUACUAGAUAUGUUUUACCGUUACAUGAGAUGUUACAGUUAUUUGAAAUAUUCUCACUGUUACUAAACAUGUUUUACUGUUACUUGAGACAUGAUUACUGUUACCGAAAUAAAAUUACAAGAUUUGAUAAGAAACGAUAUGCCCUCUAUUAUUUUGAAAAUGCUUUUGUACGAGAAUUUACUAUUUACAAGAAAGACUAUAAAUGGGAGGAGACUUUGAAGGAUCCCGUAGCUAACCUACUGCUUACAAGAAAGAGUAUAAAUCGGAAUAGACUUUGAAUGAUCCCGUAGCUAACAGUGGGUUCGUUAGAUCUGGUGCACCUUGUAAUUACCGAUACCGUUAUAGCCCUCGCUAGUGCAAAGGUAGAACUAGCAUACCGUGACCGAUUUUUCCUGAGUAGGGACUACCGAUAUAUUUGACUUUUUGCGAAGAAGUCCGCAGUUAUACUGAUUACAUGAUCCCUUCAUUGAAACCUCCCAAAAUGUGAAUACUGAUAUUAUACAGUGGCUACCGAGCUUAUUACUGAAUUGCUAAUUAUAUUUUACUACAAGAAAAGCGUGAUGAGAUUGAAAAUUAUUUAUUGUUUCUGAAAGGGCAUUUUAUGUAUUUACUCUUGUAGAUACUUGCAUGUUUCUGACUUGUCCCCAAAUAAAAACAGUUGUGGUUAAGUGUUAUUACUCACUGAGCUAGCGACUCAUUCCCCACUAACUUUUUUUUUACAGAAACAGCAGUUGA